GAUAUAGUUUAGUAGAAGAAAGUGAAAAUUGAAAUGGCUUCAUCUAUGCUUUCAACAGCAGCUGUGGCUUGCAUUAACAGGGCUAGCCCUGCUCAGGCUAGCAUGGUGGCUCCGUUCACCGGCCUUAAGUCCACAUCCGCCUUCCCAACCACCCGCAAAACCACCACUGAUAUCACCUCCAUCGCCAGCAACGGUGGCAGGGUCCAAUGCAUGCAGGUAUGGCCACC
rnacentral:misc_RNA from 1 species